GUGAACUGUCUUCGGUUGAGGCUGGUGACCUGUGACCUCUCUCACCUUCCACACCAAGGCUGACAUAUGUGGGCACAUGGAAUCCUUCAUCUUCAGUUCUCCCUCUCUCCUAAUGAAGGGAAGAUGCUUCAUCAGGUGGGUCAUUAAUGGGGAUGCACAGGAUAUGUAUCCAGGCUGCUCUCUCCGAGAUGAUAAGCCAGGCAGGACACAUGAUUCUGGGGGUGGGAGGAGGGGAGACUAGCCCCAAGUGUACUGAGCCAUGGUGCAACCUCUGUGGCCCCCUCCUAUUGACAGGCUUGACCUGCCUCUACAACAAUAAGCACUAAAUACCUUUCCCAAAGCAACAUUUUCCUAACCUCUUUUGCAAAACUGAACACUUUCCCUCAACUCCACAUUGCAAUCCUGACUCCAGGGAUGCCCCACAGUAUCACGGACAUCAGGAGCUCACCCAUGGCCAACCAUCCUUCCAGUCUCUCCCCAGUACCAGAGCUGGGCCAAGAGGCAACCUGCUGGCCUCUCGCUGGUAGUAAAAGCCACUUACUGAGUCCUUAGCAUAUGCCAGAUAACACACGGAGGCCUUUGUACUUGUCAUCCCACCUAAAUCUCACAGCAACCCUACCAGGGCAUGCUUUUAUCAUUCUCACAAAUGAAAAUGGAUUUAGAAGCAGAGGCUCAGGGAGUUUUAGAGUCCAGUCCAAGAUCAGACAGGGCCAAGAUUCAACUAAGGCCUAUUCAACCGUCAAGUCCUCUCAGAGCAUGGACUCUGGAGCCAGACUUCCUGGGAUCAAAUCCUGAUUCCUUCCUUGUUAGCCGUUUAAUUUUGCCUUUGGUUUUACCCAUCUGUAAAAUGGGCCAAUAAUCAAAAUCUGCCUCAUAAGACUGUUGUAAGGAUCGAGUAGAUGAAUCUGGGCCUGGCACAGAGUAAAGGCCCUGACAGUGUUUGCUAUUGUUGUAGUUGUUAUUACUAUACUGCCUCUCAAAAAUGGAAUAGAGAGGGCUGGGGUUGUGGCUCAGUGGUAGAGCACUCGCCUAGCAUGUGUGAGGCACUGGGUUCCAUCCUCAGCACCACAUAAAAAUAAAUAAAUAAAAUAAAUUCAUUGUGUCCAUCUACAACUAAAGAUAAAUAUUUAAAAAAAAAAUGGAAUAGAGAAGCAGGAAAAAAGCAAAUAACCAGACAGCCAUCAUUUCCCUUUGCCUCAAGAGAGUUGUCCUGGCCAAGAAACAAGCCUGCUAUCUCCAGGCCACUGCUGGAAUUGAUGCUUUCUUAAUAUCAGUAAAUGGGUCAUUGUGGUGAUCUGAAUUUGCUCCCCUAAAAUUCAUACAUUGAAAUCCUACCUCCCAGUGUGAUAGUAUUAGGAGGUGGGGCCUUUGGGAGUGAUUAGUUCAUGAGGGUGGAGCCCUCAUGAAUGGCACUAGGGCCCUUAUAAAAGACCCCAGAGAGCUCUCUCCAGAGGGCUCCUCCUUUUGCCAUGUGAGGAUACAACAAGAAUUCAGCAGACUGCAACCCAAAAGAGGGCCAUCGCCAGAACCCAACAACACUGGCACCCUGAUCUCUAGCCUCAAAAACUGUGCAAAUAGGGGCUGGGGUUGUGGCUCAGUGGUAGAGCACUCGCUUGACACGUGUGAGGCCCUGGGUUCGAUCCUCGGCACCACAUAAAAAUAAAUAAAAUAAAGGUAUUGUGUCCAACUACAACUAAAAACUAAACAUUUAAGAAAAACUGUGCAAAUAAAUGUCUCUUCUUUAUAAGACACACAUAAGUCUAUGGGGUUUUGUUAGGGAAGCCCAAAUAAACUAAGACAGCCAUAAUCAACAAGCAAAUGAUGGCUUUCAUCAGGACAUAAGUCCAUGCAGUUAAAGACUCUGUCAAUAGCACUGUGAAGGGCUUCUCUUCCAUAGGCCCUGAAGUUGCCUUUUGAGAUGGAGCUCAGGGAAGAUUGGCCAAGCUUAGCUGCUCUUGGUGGGCCUCACAGUGCUCAGGAAACAAAGGACUUAUUGAAGAGAGCAGUAAGAAUGGUAUUGCUGAUAGGACCACAAACCUAGGCUUAUAGCUGAGUCCCUGAUAGAAAUCCUGGGUUCUCGAGGCCUUCAGGAAGGGCAAAGUUUACAGCUGAUCUAGUUUAAGAAGGAGGGGCUCUUACCAGAAUCCCCAAGGACAAGGGAUGCCUGAUUUAGUGGCAAAAAUGUCCACACCUAGCUAGGACUGAUGUCCAAGUGAUAUGCUUCUAGAGUCCUUGCGAAUUUUUAAAAAAUCUAUGUGAACAGUCAUAUGUCUUUAGGAUUAUGGAGUCUUGAUUUGGUUUUAUCAACAUACUUUAUUGCAUACACUAACUAGUAAGAGGCGCUCUUCUCCACACCGUAGUCAUCUACUUAAACUCUUUAGUUUGCAAUGGAGAAAAUGAAGCUCAAAGCCACGCAGCAAAAUCAUAGUAAAGACCUGCAGCCCACACUCCCUGACUCCAGGCUAGUUCCCUACCAUCUGAGACAGAAGAUGAUGUUUGAAAAGUCUUCCCAAACAAAUCACUCCUCUCUAUCGCUGGGACAGCAGGUCUCCUUCCUGCAGAUAAUUCUAUCCGUAGAUUAAUUCAGAACUCUCUGGAGCAUGUGUUCUCAGGAGCUGGAGCCCUGCUGGGAUGGGGAGAGAGAAUUCAGGAUGGGUUUUGGGUCUGGACUUGAUAAAAAAAAAAAAAGCUCAAACUAUCCUGCUGAUUCAGAAUGAUCAGGGAAUGGUCUCUCUGAACUAUCUAGUGCUUCUGCUCAUGUUUGGAACUAUGUAAUUAUUCAUGCUUGGAACAUUUAAACAGUAUACCAGAAAAAUACUCAAUUUUAAUUUGAUCUUUCUUCCCAUAGUGCCUCAGUGUCACGAUGAGUCUGAAUUACCACUCUGGAGGACUCAAACGAUGGAGAACAAGGGUUAGCCAUCUUCCCCUUGGCACUAUCUGAGCCCUUGGUUGACUGGAUAGAAGUCACCCUGUUGAUAGGACACCACAGGGCCUAUGAGUUAUGCCCUGAAUUCUUUCAGCAAGGCCAAAGACAUGCUAUGGCCACUCGGUUCUUGUCACUUCAUUUAAGAGCAUGAAUGCUGAGGACCAGAGGCAGAAGCCAACCAACUGAUUCAACUGGCAGCCAAACACAAAGUCACUUGUUUCUUGGUUCAAGAAAAUUAUUUUUAAAAAAUUCAACAUCCAGUUAUAGCUUAAAUUAUUAUCUUUUUUGAAUAGACAAUGAAAUAAAACACACUGCAGAGUACUUAGAAAAACAUGCUGAGAAAAGCAAAAGACAGAGGCUUUGGUGAAAAACUUUUGAACUUACUACUUUAAACCAAAGUUUAGUGUUUUUAAAUUUCUCACUUACUUUUAAAGAUACAAAUUAAGAUUUUUCUGCAUUCAGGUUGGUUCUGCUAGUCCCUGUUCCACAGUCUUACUCCUCUUAUCCUCUUAAGAGUAGUAUUUUGCAUUUUGUUUCAAGUACUUAUUAACACCUUUUUCUUUGUCAGGAAUUAUGCCAGGUAUAGAGGUGACUGUAGAAUAAGAAACAGCUCUGCCUCUGGGGACAGACACUGAGACUAAACUCUCAAACAUGUUCUCAUCCUCUCUGUUAAAUUCCUUCUUAUGAUAUCACCAGUCUGAGCUUUAUAGAUGAUCUUCUUACACGUCAUAUGGUCUCUGCACAUUCAACAAUGAGCCUUACUUAGCUUUUUUUAAGAUAUGCUAAACUCUAAAAACUCCUGCUGGGCUUGUUUUCUUNAGACUAAACUCUCAAACAUGUUCUCAUCCUCUCUGUUAAAUUCCUUCUUAUGAUAUAGCUUUUUUUAAGAUAUGCUAAACUCUAAAAACUCCUGCUGGGCUUGUUUUCUUUAUCUGGUUCUUUUUCUUGGGUUCUUUCCUGGGUGCUACGUAUCAGUCUGGCAUCGUGAAGAGCUAAAGUAAGAAGGAUUAGCUCACCUCCGAUUCCCCUUGCUGCACUCUGUGGUCAGGGUUUUGUUGGGUACCAUUUCCUCUAAAUUUAUUCUAGUCCAUUUACCCCUAGAUUGUUUUUUCCCACAUUAAUAAAUCAUCAUUAUUAUCCACUGAGGCAUUAUUUUUAAUAAUUAAAUAACAGAAACGUAAUCUGUAUCUACAUCUGUAAGGAGUUAGUUAAAUAAAUUAUAAAAUCCUCUCCAGCCUUUAAGAAGGAUGAGAUCCGAAUGAGCACAUAUCUAUGGCACAUUGUCAAAUUAAACCAACAAACAUGUUGCAGAACAACAUAUAUUGUAUGAUCUCAUUUAAAAAAUGCACAUGUGAAUCUGUAUAACAUAUGUAUCUGAAUAUAUGUAUUUAUAUAUGUAUAUACACAUACAUAAGAAGUAUAUUUUAUCUGAGUGGAAAAAGUCUUAGGAGAAACUAACAAUGGGAAAUCUAUCAAGUAAGUUGGGGAAGGGGCACAUAAAAGGAAAGUCACUCUAACUCUAUGUUAUUGACUGUUUUGACCUAAUAGAUACUCCUUUUUAAAUGAAGGAAUAAGUAGACAGAAGAGAUAUAUAUUUAUUUUCCUAGACAUUUCAAGACUAUUAAGUCUAGAAUUCCACAGAUAUUGACUUUUCAUUAGUUUUUUUAAAUAUUUAUUUUUUAGUUGUAGUUGAACACAAUACCUUUAUUUUAUUUAUUUGUUUUUAUGUGGUACUGGGGAUUGAACCCAGGGCCUCACACAUGCUAGGCGAGUACUCUACCGCUAAGCCACAACCCCAGCCCAGACUUUUUAUUAGUUUUGUUGAUAAACUUAUUAACAAAGUUUGGGUUUAAAGGCAUCUACCACCAUGAGGCCCAGUGGUCCCCUCCUGUAAUCCCAGCAACUCAGAAGGCUGAGGUAGGAGCAUCACAAGUUUGAGAGCAACCUCAGCAACUUAGUGAGAACCUGUCUCAAAAUAAUAAAAAAUAAAAAGGGCUGGGGAUGUAACUAGUGGUAGAACACCCCUGGGUUCAAUCCCCAGUACCAAAAAUAAAUAAAUAACCAACAAACAAAAAGCAUCUCUUGCCUCUGAUAGGGUGUUAGCACCAUAUUCUUGGCCUCUGCAAAGUGUGUUUCCUGCAAUCUCAUUAUACAUGUUUCUGGAAAUCUUGGUCACAUGAAGGACAUGGCCCUGGAAAGUUUAUUUACUAACAAAUAAAUAAAUACUGAAAGGAAGCCAGAGAGGUAUCAUUUUAAUCUCACAGGCUGGGAAACUGAGGCACCAAAGGUUGAUCAGGCAUGUCAAGGUCACCUAGCAAGUUAAAUGUGAUGAGGUAUGGAUAGACAAGGUUUUGAGUAUCAAAAUCUGGUGUCCCAGGUUCAAGCUCUUACCAUGUUACUUUGUUUUUUUUUUAAGUAAUCUUUUUAAAAUUUCCUGAGCCCCAGUUUCCCUUUCAGUACAAUAAGUAUUAUAAUAUCUGUCUCUUAGAACAGUGCUAUUACAUGAGAGUACGUAAUUUUAUGCAUAUCAUAAAACACUAAAUAUUCGAUAGAAGGACCAACAACCAGGAAACUAAGAAUUAAUAUUUAUUAUGUGGCGGCUGGUUCUACAACAAGAUUUAUGCUUGUUUAAUUUUCUUAUGCUCCAAACAAAAAAUUUAAAAUGUCUUUCCAGUCUUUUAGAAGCUGUCCCUUCAAUAUGAAUGUUCCUGUUCUUCACGAUCAACCUUAAUUUUGUUUUUCUAUAUCCUAAAUAUUUCUGCAAAUGGGUUUAAAAUGAGGCACAAAAGUAUCAGUUCCGUGGAGAAGACAACUAGGCUUUACCAGAAUGCCAUGCCAAAUUGACUAGUACUCUGAAAGCAGAUGAAAGUUGUUUGAAAUGCUUCAAAGAGGAAGAAAAAUCUAAUCCCCCAAGGCUUCCUUUAAAUCCAUAUUCCUUAAUUUCAGAAAAAGUCCCAAGUCUUUGAAAAGUCCCAAAUAUCGUUUUACAGUUUGGAAGUCGUAAUGGAGAACAUUUAAAAAAAAAUUUUUUUUUUUUUACAACAUUCUUCCUUUCUUAAAGAGCUCAGUAAAUCUGAGUUUCCUUCACAAAGGCCCAAGUGGACGAUGACCCUCCUGUCUUGGGAGCUGGGGGUACAUGGACAUCCCCAGGGCUCUGAGCCUAGAGUUCAAGGCUAAUGACUACCUGGAGAAUUCCUUAAAGAAGCAGAGUCAGGCAUUUUCCCUGUUAUUUCUGGGCGAGAUUUGCAUGUCUGUCAUUGUGUGGAAGAACGCCCAGUCCCUCCACUAUGCAACACGGAAGAAAGAAAGUUUCCAAGUGAAAAGCAAAACAAGGCCAGUUGCAAUAGAAGCAAAUGAGACCAAUUUCCCGCUUCAGAAAACAAUUCUUGUGAAGCUGCUUUCAUCUGCUCAAAGAAGCNCUGGAAAAGUCUAUUUGAAGUGUCUCUUUAAAUCUUCCCAAUUGCCUGGAGGCACAUAACUGUUUAUUAUUAGCCCUAUUUUACAUAUGAGAAGGUUGAGUUGGAGACUGGCUCAUUGAGCUGCCUGCUGUCCUAGCUGGAUUCAAACCCAGAUCUUUCUGACUGAAAUCUGUGCUUAACCAGAACGAUGCAGAAUUGAAAUGCAAUCCAAGGCAGUGAAGGGAGAGAGCCUAUGUCAAACCUGUAGGUUGGACCUCAGUUGUGGAAUUGCAUUAUAAUUAACUCCUGUGUCCCAGCUAAAUGGUUUACAUGCAUGGUCUCAUUUAAUGUUUCCCAGCAUAUUUAAAUGGUAAACGCUAUCCUGACCCUGGAAAUACUUUGUCUCCUCUAUCAGAUGCUUCUUUUUCCCCCCUUCCUCCUCCCUCUGCAGCUUGGAGGCAAUGAGUGCAUUCAGCCUGGCCUAGGAUACAAAGUGAGUAGUCAAGGAAGAUCUGAGUAGUGUCUUUUAGGUGUCUUCUGUAUUGGUGUGAGAAGUUACAAGUGUCCCUCUCUGCUCUCCAUCUUCACGACAUCUCCCUGUGCACACAGUGCCAGAACAGUGACCUCAGACCACAGCUCCAAUGCUGAUUACAAGUAAUCCCGCUCCAGAGUGUCCUUUCUUUCAAAAAAGGAGAUAAAAAUAGCAAAGAAACAACACUUUCCUUAGUUCUCUGAAAGGUUGGCAUCCUUCCAGGAUAGACUUAUGUACUUUUUGUACUUGGAGGAAAAAAAGAGAUGGGAUUUGGUCCAAGAAUAGUCCUACAAACCAGAGAAAUAUAGAGCAGGCAGCUGGAGUAGAGCAGCCAAGUGGUACCACCAGCUGCCCAUUAAUUAACGUUCCCUGGUAUGUAGCGGUUCCCGUGACCUCGAUUCUUGUUGAAUUCACAGAGAUAAUUUUUACAGAGCCUCUACUUUUCUCACUGCAGUAUAUUUAUCCAAGGAGUACCUCGCAUAUUUCCCCUCAUCUCUCCAAGCAGUAAAUUUAUUCUAAUUGCAAAGAGAUAUAGUAAAAGCCUGAUUGAACACUUGGCAGUUUAUACAGAUUUAUUCCAGGGGCUUAAGGGGGUUUUUAGAGUGUGUGACUAGAGUAGGGUUGAGGGGAGCUGGGGAAAGGAGCCCAAGAGAAAAUGUAGAUUUAAUGGAUCUAUAAAAUGACCCUGCCAUAGAUAAAUGCUUGUUCCAAAGAAGUUUAAACAGCCUGACCCAAACGAGAGUCUGUGACAGCUAGUCGGACACGAGGUGUCUGUAGCAUUGCAUAUUUCUCUUUGGAUUUUCAGGUUUCCAUAUGAAAUUUGUUAUUCCCCAGGCAGCGGGAGGGUGUGGAAUCUGUUUUCCAGAGGGAGGGAAGCAUAUUUAACUGCACAUUUCCAAGCACUAAAAGCUAUGAACAGAGGCAAAAAGUAAACUUCCAGCACCUGCCCUGAAAAUCACUGCUGUCUCUCUAACUCCCCAAGGGCUAAAGGCGGAAUUUCAAGCCUAGGAUCCUGGAAGACAGGUCACAAGAACCUGCCCUUGGUCCUGGAGAAUUCUGAACAAGAAUGGGGAGUCUUCUGAAGCCCAGGUAUCCCAGGCACUUCCAGUGGAUAAUGAGACAGAUUCUAACCCCCGAUGGGGCUUCCGCUCAGAACAGGCUAUGCGUGCGCAUGCUACUGAACUUUUCCCCGAAAACCUAGGCUUUUGAUCCCAGGAGUGACAUUCAUCAUUUUUGCAGCUGCUUUGCAAGUUCUGCUGAGGAUGAAUUUUAGGACUUUCAACUGUUAAAUUGGUUAUAUUGUAAAUCUAAUCAGGCACUAAAAUUGGAGACAUUUGUUCGGAGAAAGAGGCAAAAUAGAAAAGUGUCCCUAAGCAGAUGCUGGUAGAGAGGAAGGCCAGAGGGUGAACGCACUGGUCUCUUUGGUUAGAGGCUAAUAGGGGAUCAUGUCAGCAGUUUGUGGAUUCCCUCUCUUUUGUUUUUUUUCAGGAAUUGGCAGGAGACCUUGGGUGAAAAUGUUAAACUUUUUUUUUUAAGUUGUAUAUGGACUCAAUGCCUUUAUUUGUUUUUAUGUAGUGCUAGGAUCGAACCCUAUGCCUCAUACUUGCGAGGCAAGUGCUGUUCCACUGAGCUACAACUCCAGCCCAAAAUGUUAAACUUUUUGAUUAUGAAAUAAAGCACUCAUACAGAAAAACAAUGCAGUUUAACAGAUUGUGAUAAAGUUAACAACCAUGUCAGGAAGUAUAAUGUUGGAACCUGGCAUGGUGGCUCAUCCCUGUAAUCCCAGCUACUUGAGAGGUUGAGACAGGAGGAUCGCAAGUUCAAGGCCAACCUGGGCAAUUUAGUGAGAUUCUGUCUCAAAAUAAAGAUAGAAUGGGGUGGGGUGGGGUGCAUAGCUGGUAGAGAACUUGCCUAGCAAGUGUGAGUUCCUGGGUUCAAUCCCCAGUACCCACCUCAUAUGUCCAUAAGGUAUAAUGUGCAGAACCAUUAUCUGAACUGUUAAAGAUAUCAAUUCCUUGCUUAAAAAAAUUAUUUAGCUCCUAACCUGAGAGCUCCAAACCCUGUUUAAGAAGGGUUAAUAUUACCUGUUUUUGAACUUUUUAUAAAUGGCACUAAUGCAUUUUUCUUUUGUGUAUGGCUUCUCUUGCUCCACUUGGUGAGAAUUAUACACCUUAUCUGUAACCACAACUCACAUUCAUUUCUGUAUGAUAUUUUUUAUUUGCCCAUGUACUGCUGAUGGACACUCAGGUAAUUUUCAGAAUGGGGAUGUUACUAAUAAAGCUGGGAGAAGCAUUCUUUUGCACACAUGUGAAUGUAUAUGGGAUUUUGCUCUGCCUGCCUGGUUGAGGUCACACAAUCCUAUUUAAGCCCAAUUUGAAUCAGGGCAAGUCCUAAAUUUAAGGGAAAAAUCAGCAAUUUUUUUUCACUUGUUCACUCAUUCAAUAAUAAAUACAAAUCAAACUUCAGAUAUGAUGAGUCAAUUGUUAAAAAAAAAAAAAAACUCUCUCCACUGGUUGGAUCUGUUUUCUGGCAGAGUCCUGACUCAUACAGGUAACAUGCUAUUUUCAUAGGCUUGCUUGGUAGCACAGGAACAAAAAUUUUCUCAAGCUAAUUUAAGUAAAGGGGAAAGUUUGUGUUUUAAAAUUUUUUUUAGUUGUUGAUGGACCUUUAUUUUAAUUAUUUAUGUGUGCCACUGAGAAUCAAACCCAGUGCCUUACACAUGCUACACAAGAGCUCUAUUUAAAUAAAGGGGAAACUUUUUAAGGAAAUAUUUCCAGUCUUCAAUAUUAACUUCCUUGAUACCAAGUCAUUAUAGCACUAUCUGUAUUUCAGAUAUUUUUCCAAAUUAAAAGUACUCUGGGUGGGUGCACAGUUUCUUCUUCUUCAGGGAUUGGAGCUCUCAGGCAAAGAAAGCUUGCUGAGGUUUGGAUAUGGUUGACUCCCAAGAUUUAUGUGUGGGAGACUUGGUCCUCAGUGUGGCAGUAUCAUGGUGGUGUGCCUUUAAGGGGUGGGUCCUAAUGGGAGGUCCUUAGGUCAUUUGGAGGUUGUGCCUUCAGAAGUGAUUGUGGAACUCCAACUUUUCUAGCUUCGUAUUUUGGACCAAGUGUGCUGCUGCCAUCCACCAUGAGGUCAUCAAUAGAGCCCAGCUGAUGCUGGCAUCAUGACCUUGAUUCUCCAGAACUGUGAGCUAAAUAAACCUCUUUACUUUAUAAAGUCAGCCUGGCUUGGGUGUUUUCUUAUGGUUAUGCAGAAUGGACUCACAAAAAACUAAAGCAAAG
rnacentral:lncRNA from 1 species